GGCGCUGUAGCUCAGUUGGAUAGUAGCGACAGGCUGUUAACCUGUAGGUCAUCGGUUCGAGCCCGAUCAGUGCCG
rnacentral:tRNA from 1 species